rnacentral:rRNA from 1 species
AACCUGCCCAGAAGUAGGGGAUAACACCUGGAAACAGAUGCUAAUACCGUAUAACAGAGAAAACCGCAUGGUUUUCUUUUAAAAGAUGGCUCUGCUAUCACUUCUGGAUGGACCCGCGGCGUAUUAGCUAGUUGGUGAGGUAAAGGCUCACCAAGGCAGUGAUACGUAGCCGACCUGAGAGGGUAAUCGGCCACAUUGGGACUGAGACACGGCCCAGACUCCUACGGGAGGCAGCAGUAGGGAAUCUUCCACAAUGGACGCAAGUCUGAUGGAGCAACGCCGCGUGAGUGAAGAAGGGUUUCGGCUCGUAAAGCUCUGUUGUUAAAGAAGAACGUGGGUAAGAGUAACUGUUUACCCAGUGACGGUAUUUAACCAGAAAGCCACGGCUAACUACGUGCCAGCAGCCGCGGUAAUACGUAGGUGGCAAGCGUUAUCCGGAUUUAUUGGGCGUA